GUGAGAAAAACUGGAGAAAAUACAACAUUGUGGAAAAAGGGAAGAAACGAAAGCUCGUGUGCGCCGGCGGCCAGCCGAUUUGGGGUUAUCCAAGAUACGGCACCCCACCGUUAAAGAGCAAUUCGGUGGAUGUAGUGGAAGGAAGCUGGAUCAGUCCGCCUGGGUGCGCCCUAUCGUCUUGUGGCGCCGCGCCAUCAUAGGCCACUUGGAGAGCGUCGGCCAACGAACAAAUCUCGGCCUCGCCUUUCCACCUACCAUCACGGUGGUUCCUCACUUCUUGCGAGUAGCGUCUAGCAAGGGAAAGAUUGCCACGCCAGCGUGAUUGAUCCUUUUGCUCACGGGCUUCCCAUCGUCUAGAUCUGUGUCAUCCUGCCACACGACAACAACGUCGGUGUCCCUUUGCUCAACGUCGCUAUUGCUUCGACGACGACGCUGAACACGUGCUUCGGCUCUGACUACCACCAACAUUCAGAGAACACCCAGCGGCGCCGGGGGGGGCGGUACUCCCCUCUGCCGGGGCAAACCGUCGGAAAACACCACCACCACGAAGGUCAUCGUCUAUUGCUCGAGCAAGCACUGUUCCCUUCAAGCCAUCCCGAGGAGGGGGAGUGGCGGCGACGCAUCGGCAGAUCGACUGUAAGUACCCGAUUGGAAACCGAACACCUUGCGAAAAUACUCUAACCGUACCGAGAGCUAAACCAUUGUUAGGCUAGAGAAAUCCUAUAAGAAUCUCCAAAUCACACAACCAAAAUUGAAAUUCAAACCCAGAAAACGUGACGUCACUGUUAGGAGGCACUUUGUAGAAAUCGAUCGAAAGCAAUCAAUUAGGAACAAGACAGAAACGAAAUGCACCUGCAAAAUUUAAUAAAUUAUGUUUUGAAAACGCGAUCGCCUAGCAUGCAAACUUAGAAUAAUUUCGCUGAAUAAAAUUUUUACCACUCAAAUUUUACCUUACUAAUAUAAUUGGACUUAAUUUUAA